rnacentral:rRNA from 1 species
GAUGAAUGCUGGCGGCGUGCCUAAUACAUGCAAGUCGAGCGGUAACAGGUCUAGUUUACUAGAUGCUGACGAGCGGCGAACGGCUGAGUAACGCGUGGGAACGUGCCCCAAAGUGAGGGAUAAGCACCGGAAACGGUGUCUAAUACCGCAUAUGACCUUCGGAUUAAAGGAUUUAUCCGCUUUGGGAGCGGCCCGCGUAUGAUUAGUUUGUUGGUGAGGUAAUGGCUCACCAAGACUACGAUCAUUAGCUGGUCUGAGAGGAUGAUCAGCCAGACUGGAACUGAGACACGGUCCAGACUCCUACGGGAGGCAGCAGUAAGGAAUCUUCCACAAUGGGGGAAACCCUGAUGGAGCAACGCCGCGUGAAGGAUGAAGGCCCUCGGGUCGUAAACUUCUUUUAUAAGUGAAGAAUAUGACGGUAACUUAUGAAUAAGCACCGGCUAACUACGUGCCAGCAGCCGCGGUCAUACGUAGGGUGCAAGCAUUAUCCGGAGUGACUGGGCGUAAAGAGUUGCGUAGGUGGUUAGUAAAGCGAAUAGUGAAAUCAGGCGGCUCAACCGUACUGGCUAUUAUUCGAACUCACUAACUCGAGAGUGGUAGAGGUAACUGAAAUUUCUUGUGUAGGAGUGAAAUCCGUAGAUAUAAGAAGGAACACCAAUGGCGUAGGCAGGUUACUGGACCAUUUCUGACACUAAGGCACGAAAGCGUGGGGAGCGAACCGGAUUAGAUACCCGGGUAGUCCACGCCGUAAACUAUGGAUGCUAGCUGUUGGAGGUAUCGACCCCUUCAGUAGCGAAGCUAACGCGUUAAGCAUCCCGCCUGUGGAGUACGGUCGCAAGACUAAAACAUAAAGGAAUUGACGGGGAUCAGCACAAGCGGUGGAUUAUGUUCUUUAAUUCGAUGAUAACCGAAGAACCUUACCAGGGUUUGACAUCCUUGGAAUUACUGUGAAAGCAGUGAGUGCUUUAUUGAGCCAAGUGACAGGUGUUGCAUGGCCGUCGUCAGCUCGUGUCGUGAGAUGUUUGGUUAAGUCCAUCAACGAGCGCAACCCUUGUGAAUAGUUGUAUUUUUCUAUUCAGACUGCUCUAGUAAUAGGGAGGAAGGAGGGGAUGAUGUCAGGUCAGUAUUACCCUUACACCCUGGGCUAGAAACAUAAUACAAUGGUUAGUACAAUGCGCAGCGAAGCCGCGAGGUGGAGCAAAUCGCAUCAAAGCUAAUCCCAGUUCGGAUAAGAGGCUGAAACUCGCCUCUUUGAAGUUGGAAUCGCUAGUAAUCGCAGAUCAGCAAGCUGCGGUGAAUACGUCACUGAUCU